UUAAAUUGUAGUCUUAGGCGUUUGAGCCCACGACUAUCCCAAAACCAGAGUCCAAAAACAAAGCCAUGAUAAAAACUGUAAAUAGGAUUAGGGUUUCUUCUUCUCCCUUUAUAAAGUGUCAAAUCUAGCAAAGUGCCUCCGCCAUUGGAUCUCUCAGUUCAGUUUGCAGAAACAAAAAAGGGAGGCUUUUAGAGUAAGAAAGAGGAAGCUUUCUUUACUAUCGAAGAAAUAACCCAUUUUCGGUGCCGAUAUCUCUCCCUUCUCGAAGGAUAAUGCCCAACCCUUGCAAUCAAUUGAAGGUGAUGAAAAGCAAGAAGAUACAUCCGUAAUGGUGGUAAUGAUGAGCGA